rnacentral:rRNA from 1 species
AUGGCCGCCUCCUUCCUCCGCCCUCUCCUCCCUCCCAAACCUUUCCUCUCCACUCCCAAACCACAAGUCCCUAUCGCCCCCAUCACCGCCGUACGCUGCACCGCGGCGCCCAAACCGACCACCUCCACCCCCAAGCCUGCCCAGCAAGAAGGCAACCAGGAGCAAGAACCCACUCCCGACGAGGCCGACGCCAACCCCCACCGCAUCCCCGACGACGAGACCCCGCCGUCGGCGACUGCGACCACCUCCUUCUCGGUGGUCCGGCGCGUGCCGUCGGCCAUCUCGACGGACGGCCGCCUCCGUCGGACGGCGCUGACGCAGGAGGAGCCGCCCAACUACGAGAUCGGGUGGAAGCGCACCAAGAAUCUCCCCCUGGAGAAGCCCAAGGGGUGGGCCAUCGCCGACUUUCUGGAGAAGCUGGAGGGGCUGAUGGAGCGCGGGCGGUACGGGUCGGGCGCGCUGCUGGGCACGGUGGCGGGCGUGGUGACGGAGCGCGCCCGGGAGGAGGCGGAGAUCCUGAUGGCCGAGGGCGGCGUGGACGAGCGCGUGGCGACGGAGCUCUUCCGCGUGCUGCGGCUGGUGGAGAUGGACGUGGAGAUGGUCAAAGCCGCCGUCAAGGAGGAGACCGUCAAGGAGCGCGUCGAGACGGCGCGCGCGCGGUGCCGCCAGGCCAUCCUCGUCGCGCUCUCGCUGUGA